rnacentral:tmRNA from 1 species
GGAUCGACGAGGGCGUAAAGAGUGUGCUUUUGCUCGGUGAGGUACCACCGUUAUCGGUCCGAAACUUAUAGUUGCUAAUGACAACAAUAAGGCUCCGGUCGCUCUCGCCGCGUAAGCGGUGCUAGCACUGGGAAUUAAAGUCCUCCGCUCCUAGCCGGGCGACAGGCGGGGUUCGCAGGCACCUGGCAACAGAAGCCUGCACU